CAGCAGCCGCGGGAAUACGGAGGGUGCAAGCGUUAAUCGGAAUUACUGGGCGUAAAGCGCACGCAGGCGGUCUGACAAGUCAGAUGUGAAAUCCCCGGGCUUAACCUGGGAACUGCAUUUGAAACUGUCAGGCUGGAGUCUUGUAGAGGGGGGUAGAAUUCCAGGUGUAGCGGUGAAAUUCGUAGAGAUCUGGAGGAAUACCGGUGGCGAAGGCGGCCCCCUGGACAAAGACUGACGCUCAGGUGCGAAAGCGUGGGGAGCAAACAGGAUUAGAUACCCGCGUAGUCCCUGUCUCUUAUAC
rnacentral:rRNA from 1 species